UUAGAUAUGGCUAUAAUGCAACUCAGUGAAGACACAACGUCAUGUGGCUGAGAAACCCAAUCCGAGCUUAGGCUGGGAGAAUCGGAUAAUGGAGGAUACCCCAACCAUCCGUAAUGGGCUUUAAUGGUGACAUUAGAGUUCUCGUGGUCGAAUGACCGGCUCCUAGGAGGGUUGUGCUGACAUAAUCGCAUCUAAAAACACUGUCUUAUCGCUCUCGCAAUAGACGCCCCUGUGGGGAAUAAUCCAAGUUAGGUUAAAGUGUGGCAACUUUGGCAAUCCUUGGAAAUGCCAACAAGAGAGUUUGCACUUGAACCAGAGAAAUCUGGGUAUAAGAUAAGGUCAUGAUCUGAGUAGCCCAAAUGUGCAAAGACUUUGAUGAUUAGAUAAUAAGAUAUUGCUUGUUCUAAAAUCAAAUUUCUGAAUGACGGGUGAAAGGUAAGGGUAAUCAAUCCCUUUUGAGAAAUGGAACAAAAGUUCUGGGGCAAGAAGUUAGAGGUCGCUCCUCGAAGCUCAGACUUGUCUCCUCAAUGGUUGAAUAUAGAUGAAGAUUAAACAGUUGGUAGGGCGAAGGCCCGCAUUAUAGUUAUAUUUAA
rnacentral:sRNA from 1 species